rnacentral:rRNA from 1 species
GAGUAAUGCCUAGGAAAUUGCCUUGAUGUGGGGGAUAACCAUUGGAAACGAUGGCUAAUACCGCAUAAUGCCUACGGGCCAAAGAGGGGGAUCUUCGGACCUCUCGCGUCAAGAUAUGCCUAGGUGGGAUUAGCUAGUUGGUGAGGUAAUGGCUCACCAAGGCGACGAUCCCUAGCUGGUCUGAGAGGAUGAUCAGCCACACUGGAACUGAGACACGGUCCAGACUCCUACGGGAGGCAGCAGUGGGGAAUAUUGCACAAUGGGCGAAAGCCUGAUGCAGCCAUGCCGCGUGUAUGAAGAAGGCCUUCGGGUUGUAAAGUACUUUCAGUUGUGAGGAAGGGGGUGUAGUUAAUAGCUGUAUCUCUUGACGUUAGCAACAGAAGAAGCACCGGCUAACUCCGUGCCAGCAGCCGCGGUAAUACGGAGGGUGCGAGCGUUAAUCGGAAUUACUGGGCGUAAAGCGCAUGCAGGUGGUUCAUUAAGUCAGAUGUGAAAGCCCGGGGCUCAACCUCGGAACUGCAUUUGAAACUGGUGAACUAGAGUGCUGUAGAGGGGGGUAGAAUUUCAGGUGUAGCGGUGAAAUGCGUAGAGAUCUGAAGGAAUACCAGUGGCG